AACGAACGCUGGCGGCAGGCUUAACACAUGCAAGUCGAGCGAGCGGCGGACGGGUGAGUAAUGUCUGGGAAACUGCCUGAUGGAGGGGGAUAACUACUGGAAACGGUAGCUAAUACCGCAUACCAUCAGAUGUGCCCAGAUGGGAUUAGCUAGUAGGUGGGGUAAUGGCUCACCUAGGCGACGAUCCCUAGCUGGUCUGAGAGGAUGACCGGCCACAGUGGAACGGAGACACGGUCGAGACUCCUACGGGAGGCAGCAGUGGGGAAGAUUGCACAAGGGGCGCAAGCCGGAUGCAGCCAGGCCGCGUGUGUGAAGAAGGCUUUCGGGUUGUAAAGCACUUUCAGCGAGGAGGCGUUACUCGCAGAAUAAGCACCGGCUAACGCCGUGCCAGCAGCCGCGGUAAUUC
rnacentral:rRNA from 1 species